AAGCGUGCACUUGGCAUCCAGCAUCCAAAAUAAGAAUUCGACUUUUAAAGUUACUGCGCAGCAUUUAACGUGGAAAUAAUCACCUCCGCGGUGGAGAUCGCGGACGGAGACGCGAACCCCGCAAAAACCCUGGCGACCGGGCGUACACCGGCUUUUGCGCCUUCCCGCCGCGCCUCGGAGAAACGCCGCCCCCGGAUUCAAGGUUUCCCAGAUGCUCUGCGCACGGCAUCCACGUGGUAGAUGGCAGCGCCUAACGGUGGCUCGGGUGCCCGUGACAGGCGGGGCAGGGAGGCGCGGAGAUUCUGGAACGUUUAAAGUAAAAGAGUUGAACAAGUUAAGUAGAGGGCAGAGGCCAAGACUGUUUUUGCAGGGAAACACCCCACUCAGAAAUUCAGUUCCUGGCUUCAUUUCCCGAAUCUCACAUAAAUAUCUGAGGACAUUGCCGGCUUCCUAGAGCCAAGAGGGAAAACAUGCAUUGAAAGGAACGAGCAAGAGGAGCCAGAGCGCGGCAUGAUCGUUUCGCUGGACGCCCUCCCCUUCAGACACCGUUGGCUGGGGCUCCCGAUGAAAUCUAUUGAGGCAAGGAUGAAGUGCGAGCCAAGAUGGGCAGAGAGGGUUCUCAAUUCUUCCACCAGUGGACACGGUUACAGUUUUUAUUCUGGACUUACAUAAUAUGUUCUGCCUUUGAAAUGCUUCCCCGUUGGUGCUGGUUGCUAGAUUUCAAACAGGUGCUACCAGUGAGGCACCCAAGGUAAAAGGACAUGUCCCUGUCCCCUUGCCCAGUGUGCAUUAUGUAUACUCAAAGUGUCCCUGAGACCCCUGACCACUAGAACAUGAAACAAAGACUUCCACAAUGUAGGUCUUCUUUUAUUCAUUCAUUAAAUAAACGUUCAUUGGUACCUAC